GAUGAACGCUAGCGAUAGGCUUAACACAUGCCAGUCGAGGGGCAGCAUGGUCUUAGCUUGCUAAGACUGAUGGCGACCGGCGCACGGGUGCGUAACGCGUAUGCAACUUGCCUCACAGAGGGGGGUAACCCGUCGAAAGACGGACUAAUACCGCGUACACUUGUGAUAGGGCAUCCUGACCCAAGGAAAUGAACUUCGCUGUGAGAUAGGCAUGCGUCCCAUUAGCUAGUUGGUGAGGUAACGGCUCACCAAGGCGACGAUGGGUAGGGGAACUGAGAGGUAGAGCCCCCACACUGGUACUGAGACACGGACCAGACUCCUACGGGAGGCAGCAGUGAGGAAUAUUGGUCAAUGGGCGAGAGCCUGAACCAGCCAAGUCGCGUGAAGGAUGACUGUCUUAUGGAUUGUAAACUUCUUUUAUACGGGAAUAACAAGGGCCACGUGUGGCUCCCUGCAUGUACCGUAUGAAUAAGCAUCGGCUAACUCCGUG
rnacentral:rRNA from 1 species